rnacentral:rRNA from 1 species
GUAGGUGGCAAGCGUUGUCCGGAAUUAUUUGGCGUAAAGCGCGCGCAGGCGGUCCUUUAAGUCUGAUGUGAAAGCCCACGGCUCAACCGUGGAGGGUCAUUGGAAACUGGGGGACUUGAGUACAGAAGAGGAAAGCGGAAUUCCAAGUGUAGCGGUGAAAUGCGUAGAGAUUUGGAGGAACACCAGUGGCGAAGGCGGCUUUCUGGUCUGUAACUGACGCUGAGGCGCGAAAGCGUGGGGAGCAAACAGGAUUAGAUACCCUGGUAGUCCACGCCGUAAACGAUGAGUGCUAAGUGUUAGGGGGUUUCCCGCCCCCCUUAGUGCUGCAGCUAACGCAUUAAGCACUCCGCCUGGGGAGUACGGCCGCAAGGCUG